rnacentral:tRNA from 1 species
GAGAAUAUAGCUUAGUUGGUAGAGUGUUUGCCUAGCAUUCAAGAAACCAGGGUUCAAUCCCAGUACUUUAU